rnacentral:rRNA from 1 species
UACAGAGGUCUCAAGCGUUGUUCGGAUUCAUUGGGCGUAAAGGGUGCGUAGGUGGCGCGGUAAGUCGGGUGUGAAAUCUCGGGGCUUAACUCCGAAACUGCAUUCGAUACUGCCGUGCUUGAGGACUGGAGAGGAGACUGGAAUUUACGGUGUAGCGGUGAAAUGCGUAGAUAUCGAUAAGGAAGACCAGUGGCGAAGGCGGGUCUCUGGACAGUUCUGACGCUGAGGCACGAAGGCCAGGGGAGCAAACGGG